AUAAUUUGGAACUGCAUAAAUCAUCAUUUCAUAAGUGAAAGAGGUUUUAGUUUUAAAAAAAUCGUUUUUCAGCAUCCAACAAUUAGGACAUCUCAGGAAAGACAUUAGUUACAAAUCUAAAAUACUGGAUGAACACAAUUCAGUGCCAAUCGUUCAUUAGCUUAGAGGCCCUCAAAUGUAGACAAGCCAACAAUCAUAACCAUUGAGUGGAAAAAAAUGUUUAUCUAGCCAUUAGUCAUGGUCAUUCGGAACCCAGUGACAUAAGCAAAUCCUGAGCACAGGCUCCCCGUCAAAGAAUAGUGAUAAUGUUAAUUGAUUGUUUCCUAUAUUUGCUAAUUUUCAUUAAUUGCUUCCUUCAUACAUUUGUUUAGCAAAACCUGCAAUAUGACAAAGAAACUAGCUUUCUAUAUUUAGCAAAACAGGUUAGAUACCCGGCUCUGGAAUAGCAGUAGGAGCAUUAAGCUUGGAUUCAAGAUUGUUCUGGUCUCGUAAGACAGCUGGAUAGUGGUGAAUUUGUUCCUCAUCAAUGAAGUGAAAAACAUCAUUGAGGACAAAAUAGCCCUUCUCCUGAGGUGCAAGGAAAAACGUUUCCACAAAUUUCCUCCUUCCACUGAAAUCCUUCACUUGCACAGAACCAGAAACCAUCACAAGAACACCACCAUUCCACGAUUCCAAGGAGUGUGCUGUCCUUAUUUCAAUUCCAGCAUAAUUGAGUGUCAUAAUAAGCGCAUGGAUUUGAAGCAUUGAAGUGGCGUUUUCUCUAAUAGUGCCAUCUAUACGAAGCAUAGUACUGGCAUCACUGUAAAACUGGUAAACGAAUUCCGGCUGUUGCUGUAGUAACUGAUAGUAUUGCCCCACAAAGUACGUCCCAACCUGAGCAGCAGUGACAGGAAUGGGAUAGGGAGUCGACAUUUGGAAAGAAAAACCAGUAAAAACCCUAAUGUGAAAAGCCCAAACAGAUCGAGAACUGGCCCUCCUCUCAAGAUCUGCAGCAGCAGCAGCAGCAAUAGCAGCAUGAACGAGGCCGGAUAAGGCAGCACUACAUCUUGGGUGGAGGGAUAGAUUUGAGGGAAGAUUUUCUCCACUGUUUAGCUUUUUGUUUUGUUCCUUUGCUGUUGCGCGUUUGGGUAUCACCUCCGCCUUUUCUCCUUCUGCCCUUUUUUUCUUAGCCGUCGACCUUUUUUUU
rnacentral:misc_RNA from 1 species